CUGAGAGGGCGACCGGCCACACUGGGACUGAGACACGGCCCAGACUCCUACGGGAGGCAGCAGUGGGGAAUAUUGCACAAUGGGCGAAAGCCUGAUGCAGCGACGCCGCGUGAGGGAUGACGGCCUUCGGGUUGUAAACCUCUUUCAGCAGGGAAGAAGCGAAAGUGACGGUACCUGCAGAAGAAGCGCCGGCUAACUACGUGCCAGCAGCCGCGGUAAUACGUAGGGCGCGAGCGUUGUCCGGAAUUAUUGGGCGUAAAGAGCUCGUAGGCGGCUUGUCACGUCGGUUGUGAAAGCCCGGGGCUUAACCCCGGGUCUGCAGUCGAUACGGGCAGGCUAGAGUUCGGUAGGGGAGAUCGGAAUUCCUGGUGUAGCGGUGAAAUGCGCAGAUAUCAGGAGGAACACCGGUGGCGAAGGCGGAUCUCUGGGCCGAUACUGACGCUGAGGAGCGAAAGCGUGGGGAGCGAACAGGAUUAGAUACCCUGGUAGUCCACGCCGUAAACGGUGGGCACUAGGUGUGGGCGACAUUCCACGUCGUCCGUGCCGCAGCUAACGCAUUAAGUGCCCGCAGAGGAAAAA
rnacentral:rRNA from 1 species